AGUGAACGCUGGCGGUAGGCCUAACACAUGCAAGUCGAACGGCAGCACAGUAAGAGCUUGCUCUUACGGGUGGCGAGUGGCGGACGGGUGAGGAAUACAUCGGAAUCUACUUUUUCGUGGGGGAUAACGUAGGGAAACUUACGCUAAUACCGCAUACGACCUACGGGUGAAAUCAGGGGAUCUUCGGACCUUGCGCGAGUGAAUGAGCCGAUGUCGGAUUAGCUAGUUGGCGGGGUAAAGGCCCACCAAGGCGACGAUCCGUAGCGGGUCUGAGAGGAUGAUCAGCCACACUGGAACUGAGACACGGUCCAGACUCCUACGGGAGGCAGCAGUGGGGAAUAUUGGACAAUGGGCGCAAGCCUGAUCCAGCAAUACCGCGUGAGUGAAGAAGGCCUUCGGGUUGUAAAGCCCUUUUGUUGGGAAAGAAAAGAAGCAGGUUAAUACCCCGCUGUUCUGACGGUACCCAAAGAAUAAGCACCGGCUAACUUCGUG
rnacentral:rRNA from 1 species